rnacentral:rRNA from 1 species
AACGUACCCCGGAGUGGGGGAUAACGCCGCGAAAGCGGCGCUAAUACCGCAUAUGCUCUGAGGAGGAAAGUGGGGGAUUCGCAAGAACCUCACGCUCUGGGAGCGGCCGAUGUCCGAUUAGCUUGUUGGUGAGGUAAUGGCUCACCAAGGCGACGAUCGGUAGCUGGUCUGAGAGGAUGAUCAGCCACACUGGGACUGAGACACGGCCCAGACUCCUACGGGAGGCAGCAGUGGGGAAUUUUGGACAAUGGGGGCAACCCUGAUCCAGCCAUGCCGCGUGCGG